GUGGCUACAGAUUAUUUUGAGUGUUGGUGGCUCUUUUGGAGAGGAUUGCAUUUGAAAGACAGACACAACACUCAAACCCUUAGGUCCUGAGUACAGCGGAGUGAAAGCAAACUUGGAAAUCAUGUCUUAGAGAUCAAGGAGCCAAGAGAUGAGACAAGCCUGGGUUCCUAGGUGAUAGGGUGUGGCUGUGUCCCCACCCAAAUCUCGUCUUGAAUUGUAGCUCCCAUAAUCCCCACAUGUUGUGGAGGGACCCUGUGGAAGGAAGGCCUGAGGAGAGAAGACACAUAGUCAUGCUGACUAAACCAGAUCACCUAGAAUUACCAAAUGGAAAGAUUGUGCCUGCAGCCUGGCCUGUUGCCCACAGCGGUCUACCUGCCACACUGGGAAAGAUCGAGCAGAGACAGAGAAGAAAAGGAGGCUCCAUUUUUCAGGCUGCUCUCCCGCAGGCUCAUGUUUUGUGUUCAUGCCAGGCAGAGAACACAAAAUGUUCCAAUAAAUAAGUAUCAAAGGUUAGUGGUGAAAAUGAAGGAGGAGGAGGCAUUGCGUGAAAAACUAAACAUGCAAAAUAUUACACACAAAGAGAACCAAAAUGCAGGUUCACUGGAAAUGAUAGACAAUAUGUUAAAACAAGAGGAGAGAAGAGAGCUGAAAUAAUCAAAUGGAAACACACAAUUUAGGGCUAAGAUCUUGUUGUGUUCAGCCACAAAUGAUGGCCAGCAGUGAGGAAUCUGUGUGUUCUCCACACUCUUCGCUCCUGGGAAGUCAACUCACAUGGACCAUGAUAUCAAUAUCUGCUCCUUCCCCUAAUAUCUGUUUGACCUUGGGUCAGUUACUUAAACUUCCUAAGCCUUAGUUUCUUUGUCUGGAAAAUAGGGAUAGUUAUACCUACCACACAACCACUUUGUAAUGAAUAUGUUGGAAAUUAUAUGCAAAUUGGCUUCCGUUGGUGUUUGGAACAUAGUAGGUUUUUAACUGGAAUAUAAUAGCUACCAUUAUCAGUAUCAUCAUAUUAAUUUAUAUUUCCAUCUUCAGCCCUUAACCCAGGAUCUUCAGUAAAUGUUGAAUUCUCAAAUUUGUUAAAUUCACUUGUCUAUACUAAUAUUUUACUCUAGGUUUCUUAGAAUAUUCUAGAUAAUAUUAUUAUGUAGAAUAUGUUAUGUAAGCUUCAUCUUAUCUGUAAAUAUAGUUUUACUUUUUCCUUUCUAAUUUUUAUGUCGAUUACUUCUUUUUCUUGGCUUAUUGAAUUGGCUAGGAUUCCCGUACAGUGUUGAAUACGUGCAGCAAGACUGCACAUCUUGCCUUGUUCCUGGUCCCACAGAGAGAAUAUCCAGUACUUCACAAUAAGUAUGUGUUAAUUGUAGAUUUUAUUAGAUUGAGGAAGUUCCCUUUCCUUUCAAGUCAGUCUUUUUAUUUUAAACAUGUAUUGAAGUUUUGUCAAAUGUCUUCAUCUAUUGGAAUAAUUAUACAUAUCUCUUUUUUAUUCUGUUAAUAUUACAUUUCAAUCUUCUGUCUACCUAAAAUCCCUAGAAUAAUCUCCAUUUGGCUAUGAUGUGUUGUGCUUUUAUAUAUUACUGAAUUCUAUAUGCCAAUAUUAUUAAAAUUUUCUGUCUUUAUGA
ensembl:lncRNA CCDC26 CCDC26 long non-coding RNA